rnacentral:rRNA from 1 species
AAACCGUUCCCGAGGAUCUAUUGGAGGGCAAGUCUGGUGCCAGCAGCCGCGGUAAUUCCAGCUCCAAUAGCGUAUAUUAAAGUUGUUGUGGUUAAAAAGCUCGUAGUUGGAUUUCGGCGGGUAGUGGUCGGUUUGAAUUGCUUCAACACUGGCUUUUUUACCCGUGUGUUCUGCCAGAAUUUAACGGGUGAUCUUCGCCGAUUGUCCGUUAGAACUGGCAGGUUUACUUUGAAAAAAUUAGAGUGCUCAAAGCAAGCUUGAUUGCUUGAAUAUUCGUGCAUGGAAUAAUAGAAUAGGAAGUCGUUUCUAUUUUGUUGGUUUUCGGAAAUCGACUUAAUGAUUAAUUGGGAUAGUCGGGGGCAUUUGUAUUCAAACGACAGAGGUGAAAUUCUUGGACCGUUUGAAGACAAACUACUGCGAAAGCAUUUGCCAAGAAUGUUUUCAUUAAUCAAGAACGAAAGUUAGAGGUUCGAAGGCGAUUGGAUACCGCCCUAGUUCUAACCAUAAACGAUGCCAGCUAGCGAUCUGCCGGUGCUUGAUUUUCUGGCCCGGCAGGCAGCUUCCGGGAAACCAAAGCUUGUGGGUUCCAGGGGAAGUAUGGUUGCAAAGCUGAAACUUAAAGGAAUUGACGGAAGGGCACCACCAGGAGUGGAGCCUGUGGCUUAAUUUGACCCAACACGGGAAAUCUCACCAGGCCCGGACACCAGAAGGAUUGACAGAUUGAUAGCUCUUUCUUGAUUUGGUGGGUGGUGGUGCAUGGCCGUUCUUAGUUGGUGGAGUGAUUUGUCUGGUUAAUUCCGAUAACGAACGAGACUCUGUCCUGUUAAAUAGAUCCAACCUAGUUGUAGGGUUGGAAUGUCUUCUUAGAGGGACUGGUGAUUAUUAGUCACACGAGAUUGAGCAAUAACAGGUCUGUGAUGCCCUUAGAUGUUCUGGGCCGCACACGCGCUACACUGAAGUGAUCAGCUAGUUUUUCCCUCUCCGAGAGGAGCGGGUAAACUGUUGAACCCACUUCGUGGUAGGGAUCGGAGCUUGCAAUUAUUCUCCGUGAACCAGGAAUUCCCAGUAGGUGCAAGUCAUAAGCUUGCAUCGAUUACGUCCCUGCCCUUUGUACACACCGCCCGUCGCUACUACCGAUUGAGUGUUUUAGUGAGGACCUCGGAUUGCUUGCCUGGCGGUUAACGCUGCCUAGCUGGCGAAAAGACGUCCAAACUGUAGCACUUAGAGGAAGUAAAAGUC